rnacentral:rRNA from 1 species
GACGAACGCUGGCGGCGUGCCUAAUACAUGCAAGUUGAGCGCUGAAGGUUGGUACUUGUACCGACUGGAUGAGCAGCGAACGGGUGUGUAACGCGUGGGGAAUCUGCCUUUGAGCGGGGGACAACAUUUGGAAACGAAUGCUAAUACCGCAUAAAAACUUUAAACACAAGUUUUAAGUUUGAAAGAUGCAAUUGCAUCACUCAAAGAUGAUCCCGCGUUGUAUUAGCUAGUUGGUGAGGUAAAGGCUCACCAAGGCGAUGAUACAUAGCCGACCUGAGAGGGUGAUCGGCCACAUUGGGACUGAGACACGGCCCAAACUCCUACGGGAGGCAGCAGUAGGGAAUCUUCGGCAAUGGACGAAAGUCUGACCGAGCAACGCCGCGUGAGUGAAGAAGGUUUUCGGAUCGUAAAACUCUGUUGGUAGAGAAGAACGUUGGUGAGAGUGGAAAGCUCAUCAAGUGACGGUAACUACCCAGAAAGGGACGGCUAACUACGUG